rnacentral:rRNA from 1 species
UACAGAGGUCCCAAGCGUUGUUCGGAUUCAUUGGGCGUAAAGGGUGCGUAGGCGGCGCGGUAAGUCGGGUGUGAAAUCUCGGGGCUUAACUCCGAAACUGCAUUCGAUACUGCCGUGCUUGAGGACUGGAGAGGAGACUGGAAUUUACGGGUGUAGCGGUGAAAUGCGUAGAUAUCGUAAGGAAGACCAGUGGCGGAAGGCGG